AACCCAUUUUUCUGUGAACUUCAUCGCUUACACCUGUGAACUUCAUCGCUUACACCGAUCAGCAUGCAUUUCGCGUUGCUUCUGUGAACUUCGUCUCUUCGCUCAUUUGCUCAUUCCCUCAACUUCCUGUGUCGACUGAAAAGGGCUUCGCUCAUUCUCUCAUUGAAAAACGAAGCUGAGAGGAAACCAUUUCACAGUGACGACAUUGGAUUAGCUCUUGAAGCACUUGCAUCUUCUGAAAUUGAUCAGAAUAAGUGAGGAACACUCUUGCUACGAGUUCUACUUGAUACCAUCAUCACAACACAGCAACAGUUGAUUUUGUGCUAUAUUUCAGGUUGAUUUCUCUGUUCAUGAAGUUCUUAGGAUUUUUAGAAUAUAGCCAUAAUUUGAAAGAAUGAAUGUCAACUAAUGUUUCAUUGCUUUUGUUCUUGUAACCUCCUUGCAGCAGAAUCAUCACCUUUUAUAACUUCGGCAUAGGUAGCCAACACAUGGCUUUCCCUAUUUUUGUUCAAUUUUUCUGCAUAUUGUGUUUUAGUUUCCCUUAACAUACCUUGCUUUUUUGCUAUGUCUCUCUCUUGAACUCUUUGAUAGCUUUCCAUUGUGUUGCUUUCAAUAUGCAGGGAAAGUACUGUGUUGAUUAAAGCUCCUUCUUCUUUCAACCAACCCCUGCAUCUUUAGCACAUUUUGAGAUGAGUGUAGUUUUUGGUAAUCACUUCUAAAAUAGAGACUGGUGCCUGUUUUUUAUUUUUGAGUUAAAUAUACUAACUGAUAAGAUUCCCAUAAUAGGCUUGGUUAAGCUACAAAAUGGUGACUCUUAGUUGUCAUGUCUGAUUCUCUAUUCAUGCUUAAUUUUGCAUUGGCUUCUGUUGUUCUACUUGAUUUGGUAGAUUUAACUUUGUAGGUUUGUAUGUUUUUGUUUGAUUGUUCUUAACUGCUAUUGGCCACUAUUGACUACACUGCUUUAGUAGCAGUCUAGAAUAAAUAAAUGUUGGUUGAUAUUUAUAUCCUAAGUUAAUCCUGUGGAUACUGUUCGAUUUCGUAGUAGAACUGGUUUUGAUUCUGUUUUAGUAGGUAUUGGUAAGUUAAACGAAUCUGAAGCGUGAAUUUCUGUUAGUCCUGUUGAAUUGACUAGGUAGGACUGGUUUUGACUCUGUUUUAGUAGCGGUUGGUAAUUUAAGCGAAUCUGAAGCACGCCAUUCUGUUAGUACUGUUGGUAAUAAGCGAAUCUGAAGGCUUGAGUCGUGCUUUGCUUUCUCAUUAGUCACUUAGCUACAAUGGUUAUAGUAAUUUGGUGGAGUUGUAAAGUAGAUAUGACACAUCAACCUCAGAUUACAAUUGGCAGCUCCUUCUUUGUUUGCAAUUUGCAUCCGUUUUACUCGUCAGGCUGGCAUUGGCUAUAGAAUAAUAUAUUGUGUUCGAGCUUGAAUUACAUUUUCUUUAAGAAAAUAAAAUUAACUCAUUUCAUUC